rnacentral:rRNA from 1 species
UGCCAGCCGCCGCGGUAAUACGAAGGUGGCAACCGUUGCUCGGAUUCACUGGGCAUAAAGCGCGCGUAGGUGGUUUGACAAGUCAAUGGUGAAAGACCCCGGCCCAACCGGGGAAGUGCCGUUGAAACUGUCUUACUUGAGGACGGGAGGGGAGAGUGGAACUCUUGGUGUAGCGGUGAAAUGCGUAGAUAUCAAGAGGAACGCCGGUGGCGAAAGCGACUCUCUGGACCGUUCCUGACACUGAGGUGCGAAAGCUAGGGGAGCAAACAGGAUUAGAUA